rnacentral:rRNA from 1 species
UACGUAGGGUGCAAGCGUUGUCCGGAAUUAUUGGGCGUAAAGAGCUCGUAGGCGGUCUGUCGCGUCGGAUGUGAAAGCCCGGGGCUUAACCCCGGGUCUGCAUUCGAUACGGGCAGACUAGAGUGUGGUAGGGGAGAUCGGAAUUCCUGGUGUAGCGGUGAAAUGCGCAGAUAUCAGGAGGAACACCGGUGGCGAAGGCGGAUCUCUGGGCCAUUACAGACGCUGAGGAGCGAAAGCGUGGGGAGCGAACAGG